CCUGCCCCCUCCCUCCGCUCCUCAACGCCCGCCGGGUGCAAUCUGCUCUCUCCGGGAGACGAACGCGAAGCGACGUGGAAACCCUUCCACCAAAAUGAGCUGUGAUAUCCUUUUGAUGGCUAUAAUUUAUUCCAAAUCGUCCCUGGACUGAAACGAUCAAUUAGCAGCCCGAAACGCACUGUGAAGUAAAUUGUCACACUCUCUAUUACAGGAUGGUUAUCAUAUAUUUAUAAGGUGUGUUUUCUGCAAUCAGAACCAACAAGGUGUUGAGCGAUCAGUCAUACACGCACUUCUUCAAAAAGAGAGGGAGAGAAGCUCAGCAUUGUGUGGCGGGGGAAUAAUCCUCAUGACAGUUCUCUCCCCACCCAGUGAUGUUUUGUCUUGUCACCUGGGAAGUGCAGUGAGGGCCGGAGCUCUGGACGGACUCUCUUCGCCAGGCGUGCGCCUGGAAGCAGGGUCCCUGUGAACUACGGAGAGACCCCAGAGGAGAGAUUUCCUCAUUGCGUGAACACAAAUCAGUUAGUUACCACCUGCCAUCUAGCGAAACAGACCUCACUCAAGGUCAAUGAUGGCUGCUAAGCUUGGGGUUGAUGGGGGAAGGUGGAUGCAGCAGACCCCAGAGAAAACAGAGCACCCUGAGGAGGAGCCGGAGGAGGCCAGAGGCCCUUGUCUCAGACAUCCACCUCUGAGAGUGAAAUGUUGCUUCCUAAUGAACUUUAAAUUACCAACAUCACUAAACUCUCCCUUAAUAGACUUGUAAAGAUUUGCUUGCUACCUUUCUCCUCCUUCAUGUAGAAUUUGUAAUCAAGAGCCCAAUUUUGUCAUUUGGAAAUACUAAUUAUCUAAUCACGGCAUGCUGUAUAAAGUACUUGUCUGCCCAAUUAGCUAGGACAAUUAUUAAAAUUCAGAGGCCUAAUUAUGUCUCAAUUUAAUGCUGGCAAACUUGCAUACAGAGCAGUAAUUAAAAUCCUCUCUUUCCCUCUGCCUUUAGGGCAGGGGAUGAUUAGGCCCUGUCAGGGGGUAUACUGAACCAAACCAGUGAAGCGUAUUGUGCAACAUGACCCUGCAUUGUUAAGUGUGUCAACAUAUUAACCUGAAUUCCCUUCAGCCCCCACAUAAUCACAUUUGGUGGAAGAAUAAAGGAGCUAAAACAUGAAGCAUUUUAUUAAAAAAACAUAAAUUCAUUUUAAUUAAUGCUGUGAGAGUUCUGGUGAAUUUCACGUUUCCAAGUGCUGGAAGACAUAAGACUGGUUCAUCUAAUUACUAGCAAAUUUGUUCCUGUUACAACUACUUUUUUUACCCAUUUAAAGAAAAUAAUUUUUUGGGGUAGCAUUAAAAAAACAAAAGUCCUAGUUAGCUUCCAGUAAUACAGUUGAUUACCAGCUUUGAUGAUGGAACACAAGUGAACGUUGACUUCCAAAAGAUUCAAACCCAAGACUGGAGGCAUUGAGGGGGGAAAAUACUACAAUUUAAUACUUGAAAGAUGUUAAUAAAAGUGGAACAUUACAAAUCAUAAUAUUGAAAUAAAUUCAAAAUAUUUAUCUUUUGA
rnacentral:lncRNA from 1 species